UACGUGAAGAAAGGGCGCACGCGGGAAUGCCCGGCACAGGAGGCACGAAGACACGCCGACGCGGACUCAACACCGAUAAGCUUGGGAGGCUGCACGUCAAACGUUAAUCCAGCAGAUCUCGGGCAAUGGGGGAACCUCACUAUCUUUAGUCGAAUAGUAAUCCUUACGUGGAAAAAUAGCGUGAAGGAAACGCAGACCUCAGGGGAACCUGAACGACACACAUCUAAGUACCUGGAGGCAAGAGAAAAGAAAAAUGCGAUUUCCUGAGUAGCGGCGAGGGCGACAACGGAAAGAGCCAAACCAAGACUAGCUGCUCUGGGUUGUAAGGAACAGCUCUUAUACGGAGUUACAAAAGAAAGGUUAAAUAAACUGAAAGCGGUCUGGAAAGGCCCGCACAAGAACGUAAACAAGCCCGUCAGCUUCUGACACUGGCUUCCCCCAAGAGUGGAUCGCUGAGUACCGCGCGGAACACGGAAAUCCGUCGCGGAAUCGCGGGAGGAGCGCAUCUCGACAAGGCUAAACUACCCUAAGUCGACGAAUAGCUGACAACAGUACCCGUGAAGGAAAGGUUGAAAAGCGCAGCCACCGGAAGGGGAGUGAAAACAGUUGCCUGAAACCGUGGCCCUACAGCUAGCAUAGAGCCCAUUAAUGGGUGAUCAGCGUUCGCUGCUUUUGUAAAAUCGAACCGGCGAGUUAUACGAUUUGUGCAAAGGUUCAAGCGCAAAGAAGCGAAGGACCGUAGGCGAAAGCGCACGUCUGACAUACGGCGCAAUAAGUCAAACAGGUCGUAGACCGCGAAAACGGCCAGGUGAUACCCACGCCCACGCGCGCACGCAACGCAAACAAGGUAAUACUUACUGGCAGGUCCGAAACGCCACGCAACGUUGAAAGUGCGGGAAAUGCAGGUGUGGGUAAGCGGAGAAACUCCCAAACGACACUUCUCGGCACGAUCACGCUCGCUCUCGCCGAAUAAGCUUAGCGGCUACCCUGCGAGGUACACACGAACGCACUCGCGCACGACACGAGCACUGUUUUGGACCUUAGGGGCCCUUCCUCGGGUUUACCGGCGCGAAUUCAGAUAAACUCCGAAUGGGCAUGUAGCUGUAUACUCGGGAGUCAGACUGGCGAGUGAUAAAGAUCGCGUAGUCGAAAGGGAAAACAGCCAGCAGACCACCAGUUAAGGUGCGCCCAAAAAUAUGGUUAAGUGCAAAAGGAUGUGGGGUUGGCUUAGACAACCAGGAAAUGUUGGCUUAGUAAGCAGCCACCAUUGAAAAAGAGGUGCGAAAUAGCUCAUCCUGGGUCGAGUGACCCGCGCGCGAAAAAUGUGAAGGCGGGCCGGGGCUUAAAACAUUAUUACAACCGAAACUGUGGACUGAACCUCUUAGAGGUUCGUGGUGAGGAAAAGCGUUCUAACAGGGGCGGGGAAGUCAGUACGCGGAAGGACAUGGUGAGACCGCUUAGAAGUGGAGAAGCCGGUAUGAGUACGCCGAAAAGAGGCAGGGUGAGAAUCCCUUUCCACCUGAAUAUGCUUAAGGUUCCUGAGGAAGGCUGCGCCCGCUGCAGGGUUAGUCCGGGAGCGCUAAAGCCGAGGCCGAUAGGCCGUAGGCGAUGGACAACAGGGUACGAGAUUCGCUGUACCAGUGCUAAUUGUUUAAGCGCGACUGGGUGACACAGAAGGAAGGGAACGCAGCGAAAUGGAAAUGUGCGUCAAGCAGUGAAGUGUCGAGAAGUAGGCAAAGUGGCGCGCGUUCUCGCGAAGCAAUGAGGCUGUGAUGGGGAAAGCGAAGAUUAACGUUAGGCGGAAGUUCCUGAUUUCACGCGCUGUCAACAAAAAGCCUCUAAGAAAGAGUAGUACUGCCCGUAGCGGGGCUGCAAACGCGACAGCAGGUAGAGUGAGGAGAGAAUCCUAAGGUGACGCGAGAGAACCUCGUUAAGGAAGGCUCGCAAAAAAAUGACCCCGUAAACUUCGGAGAGAAGGGGUGGCUCAAUUAGGGGUGCAAGGCCCGAGAGAGCGCAAGUGAAUAGGCCCAGGCGACUGUUUAAGCAAAAAGCAGCAGCUCCUCGCAAAAAGGCCGCGUAAGGUGACGUAUAAGGGGGCGGGCUGACGCUGCCCGGCUGGCUGGGAAGGUUAUAGAGGAGUGCCUUAGCUUCGGCGAAGGUAGCGAAAUGAAGCCGCCAGAAAACGCCGGCGGCCGUAACUUAUAACGGUCGCUAAGGUAGGCGAAAUUCCUUGUCGGGUUAAAGUUCGCGACCGCACGAAAGCGCAAAACGCAUCUGGGCACUGGUCUCAACGAGAGACCGCGGUGACAGAUUAUAGUACCGUGUGCAAGAUGGGCCAGGGUUACCCGCGAACAGGAGCGGAAAAGAAACCCCCGUGGAAGCUUUUACUGCAACCUGAUAUGGAAAUGUUUGGACCGCUUGUAGCAGGAUAGGUAGGAGCCGAAGAAGACGUGUUGCGCUAAGGCAAGAGCGGAGGGCAAUGGUGGGAUAGCUGUACCCUGGCUGUGAUGAUCGGCAUUCUAACCCGCCAACGCUUAGGCGCCGUGGGGGAAGACGAGUGUCAGGUGGGCAGUUUGACUGGGGCGGUCGGCCUCCUAAAGAGUAAGCGGAGCCCCAAAAGGUUCGCCUCAGGAAAUGGAAAUGAAAAUCAUUCCGCCAGAAGUGUAAAGGCAGCAAGGGAGCUUUGACUGCGAGACUGACAAGUCCGAGCAGGUGACGAAAAGUCGGGCUUAGUGAUCGCGGGGGGUUCCGCAUGGAAGGGCGCAUCGCUUUCAACGGAUAAAAGCUACCCGGGGAUAAGCAGGCCUUAAUCUCCCCCAAGGGAGUCCACAUCGACGGGGAGGUUUGGCACCCCCGUGGUCGAAUGUCCGGCUCGUCGCAUCCUGCGGGCUGUAGUCCCGGUCGCAAGGGUUGGGCUGUUCCGCCAUUUAAAGCCGGGGCAACGCGGAGCCUGGGGUUCAGAAACGUCGGGAGACAGUUCGUCCCUAUCCGUCGCGCGCGCAGGAAUUUGAGAGGAGCUGUCCUUAGCGACGAGAGGACGGGCGGAUGGACAGCAACCCGCUGGUGUACCAGGUGUUCCGCCAGGAGCAUCGCUGGGUAGCUAUGUGUGGCAGGGAUAAACGCUGAAAGCAUCUAAGCGUGAAGCCCCCCUCAAGAUGAGAUUUCCCAUUUCUUCGGAAAGUAAGAUCCCUGAAAGAUGAUCAGGUAGAUAGGUUUGGAGUGGAAGUGUAGCGAUACAUGGAGCGGACAAAUACUAAUCGAUCGAGGACUUAACCAAAA
rnacentral:rRNA from 1 species